GCCUGCAUGAAGUUGGAUUCGCUAGUAAUCGCGCAUCAGCCAUGGCGCGGUGAAUACGUUCCCGGGCCUUGUACACACCGCCCGUCAAGCCAUGAAAUCGGGGGGUGCUUGAAGUACGCUUACCGUAAGGGGCGUCCUAAGGCAAAACCGAUAAUUGGGGCUAAGUCGUAACAAGGUAGC
rnacentral:rRNA from 1 species